UACGUAGGGGCCGAGCGUUGUCCGGAGUUAUUGGGCGUAGAGCGCGCGCAGGCGGCUUGGCGCGCCCGACGUGAAAGCCCCCGGCUUAACCGGGGAGAGUCGUCGGGGACGGCCGGGCUUGAGGGCGGGAGAGGGUGGUGGAAUUCCCGGUGUAGUGGUGAAAUGCGUAGAGAUCGGGAGGAACACCUGUGGCGAAGGCGGCCACCUGGGCCGACCCUGACGCUGAGGCGCGAAGGCGUGGGGAGCGAACGGG
rnacentral:rRNA from 1 species